CACAAAGCUCGCCCCUGUUUUCUUUUCUACUGUUGAUUUGCUGACUGUAUGUGAACCAUUCUUUUUAGCAGCAGCAUCUCACUAUCCUACAGCCAAAUCUCUGCUUCGUAGUUCUUACUAACCAUGAGUGACACAAAAAGAUCCAUCUCUGGGUGUUUUUCAUCCGUUUUGCGACGGAUUCUUUGUUCGGAGAAUCCUCAGACACACCCCUCGGGUUGCAUUGUGGGGUCAAACACCAUAGAUGAAGUGGCCAUGGUUCAAGUUCCAGGUUCUGAAAGUGGUCCUGGAAUUGUGGCGAGGUUGAUGGGGCUAGACUCAUUGCCAGAAAACGACUGGAUUCACAAAGGUAAAAUUUCAGGCCCUGUUACCCGGAGCAGGUCUGUAAAUUUCAUGGAUUACAUGCUGGAGUUUGAUCAUUUAACACAAGCCAAACACCGUCGUGUCAAAACAUCGUCUUCGUUUCGCGAGGUGCCGCAAGUAUUCCGGCAUAAUCAGAGACAAGAAUUCUUGGUUGUGUACUUGAACAAUGAGGUUAAAAACAAUGAAGCGGUAGGGCUUAGGCCAAGGAAAUCAGAGAAAGGAGACGGAUCGGGUACUAAGCAGCUAAGCAAAAGGACAACGUGAGAGACAAAGUAGCUUGUAAGAAACAGAUUCGAGAGAAAAACAAGAAGAUAUCUAUGCUUAAAAAUGAAUCAAGGGGAGUUACUGGUAAACAUUCAAAGGAAAUACCUGUGAUGACAAGGAAGAAGAAGAAGAGCCAACGCCCAGUUAAAAAAAUCGACUUCUCUGAACACCCAUUUUCUGUCCUGCAUGUAAAUGACGGCAUCUCAGAUUCAAGGUUGUUGGAACUGAAAUCGAAGAAGAAAUGCUCAUCAAAGUCGGUGAAACACGACUCCCCCACUAGGGAUAUUAAUGCUUGCACUCCAAUUGCUGAUAAGUCAACGGAUAUGGAGGAAACUGGGUAUUACAUGGAGUUGAUUGAUAAGCUUAGCAAGCUGACAGAGGAAGAUAUUAAAUUCGCAAACUGGGAAACCAAGAAAGUUUUCACGUUUCAAGAGAUUUGUGCAGAGUUUGGGGAGCAAAUACUUGAUAUCAUGAUGCACCAGGUAGCUGAUGAACUUUGUGGGAUUUCACCUAACAUGUAAAUUUGUGCAAAGAAAAAAAAAGCAUUUUUUGUCACUGGUACACUCGUCUCUGCAACAAGAUUGCAGCAAGAUUCUAGUGUCGUGUGGCUUGGGAAUGUGUAGGAACAACACGAUGCAUGUUCAGCAAAUGUUGAUGCUUUUUUGUAAUAAAAAAUACUAGUAGCAGAUUUAAUGGGGGAGAAUUCUUCUCUGUAAACGUACAUGGGCUUUCGUUCUGCAGCUUUAAGAAGAGAAUGUACGUUUCCCAGUGUUCAUUGAUGUUGA